rnacentral:rRNA from 1 species
UACGUAGGGGGCGAGCGUUGUCCGGAUUUAUUGGGCGUAAAAGGCUUGUAGGUGGCCACGUCAAGUCGGAUGUGAAAUCUCCCGGCUCAACUGGGAGGGGUCAUUCGAUACUGGCGGGCUCGAGGCCGGUAGGGGGAAGCGGAAUUCCCGGUGUAGUGGUGGAAUGCGUAGAUAUCGGGAGGAACACCAGUGGCGAAGGCGACUACCUGGCCUGUUCUUGACGCUGAGGCGCGAAAGCUAGGGGAGCAAACGGGG